UCUCAGGAUGAAGAACUGAGAAUGCUGACAAGGCAAGAAAUAAGUUCUUCAAGCAGAUCAAUGUUACCAGGAGAGGUUGGAUAUAGCACAGGGGAAGUGGACGAGGAAAUUGUUUCUUCUCAAAUACCACUAAGACAAUCUCUACGGCCUAGGCAGAACAG